AUAAAUAGCCGUAACACUUUGAGCACACCUGAUCUCUGCAGCUAAGCAGAGUCAGGCCUGGCUAGUACUUGGAUGGGAGACCAUCUGGAAAUACAGGUGUUGUAAACC
rnacentral:rRNA from 1 species